rnacentral:rRNA from 1 species
CGGGGUGGGGAGAGAGAGAGAGAGAGGGUGAGCAGAGAGGGAGAGGGAGGGCGCUCGUCGAUGCUGCCGGUUUAGGCCGCUCGAGACCGCCUUAAGCUGCUGCGGACGGGGUGUCGGCUCGCGGAGGGCUGGGGCGGAGGGAGCUGGGGCGCGGCUACGCGGCGGAGCGGAGGCGGGUGGCCACGCACGGCGGUGGAGUGGUCUGGGGUCCUCGGGGCGGCGGAGCGCGACGGCGGACGUGGCGCAGCGCACGGCGGUGGAGGGGUGUUCGAGCGGCGGGGUAGCGCCUUCGGAGUGGCGGGGCGGCGGUACCCUUGGCUCGAGGAGACGCGGGGCGGGCGGUAGCCUCUAGACUCCGGCCGGCCCUCCGCCCCUACCCCAUGGCCACCCGGGGCCCCUAGACGCGCCACCACGACGAGACCGAGCGACGCUGGCGUCGGCCUCUAGGGCUAGGGCUGCUCGAGCUCGCGCGUAACGGUUACGGUUAAAUGUUGUUAAAGUCCAGACGCUUUCAACCUAAAACCUAUCCGAAAGUUCUCGCACUGGCUUCGUCUCUGUGUGUGUACGCCGCGCUGUUGUUAAGAAGAAGGAGUUUCGUAUAUAAAAGAGGUUCGCUAGUUGUUUCACUAACCAGGUAAACCUUCCACAAGGUUAGGGGUGGUUGUUCUCCGUGUUACGAAGGUUCUAGAAGUUGUGGGACUUCCAACGUCGACUCCUCUGUACCAUACCUUAACUCGUCCUCAUGUGAGAGGAGGUCUUCCUACACUUGACGGGGGAACCGACCGGGUAACCACCGAUGAGACCAGGAGUCACAAAAACAAUACGUUCAACCUUCUUUUCUUCUUCUAGGUCUCUUCUAGAAUCAUUAUUCUAUCAAAAAUCCUUUUAUCUAUAAAUCAAAAUCCAGUAAAGAACAUUAAAGUCUAUACCUCACGAACAGAAAUCAAGAACAAAACUGAAACACUUUGAACGAUCGAUACCUGUUUUGACACAUUAUAACUACUUUGAUACAUAUACAUACCUACUUUGAACG